UAAUCUGUUUGUAAAGAUCAUUGUCUAGUUGUGACAGAUCAACACCCGACUACUUAAAAUCACUUGUUAUCAAGGUUGUCAAUUCCGUUUCGGUAAGUGUUUUGUUUUUUCAAUUGAAAU
rfam:Populus trichocarpa isolate Nisqually-1 chromosome 5, whole genome shotgun sequence.